GUUGCUUCUUAAUAUGAACUCCCUGUAAGUUUUGAUUGAUUUGGGGAUGUUCAAGUUUUAAAAGUAUAGAUAAAUUGCCAGUAUUAAACAGUACUGUUGUGCUU